rnacentral:rRNA from 1 species
CCCUUAGAUGUUCUGGGCCGCACGCGCGCUACACUGACGAAUGCAACGAGCUUAUAACCUUGGCCGAAAGGUCUGGGUAAUCUCCAAAUUUCGUCGUGAUGGGGAUAGAUUAUUGCAAUUAUUAAUCUUCAACGAGGAAUGCCUAGUAAGCGCAAGUCAUCAGCUUGCGUUGAUUGCGUCCCUGCCCUUUGUACACACCGCCCGUCGCUCCUACCGAUUGAAUGGUCCGGUGAAGCGUUCGGACCGUGGCCUUUGGACGGUUCGCCGUCUGUUGGCUGCGGGAAGUUCGUUAAACCUUAUCAUUUAGAGGAAGGAGAANUCGUANCA